rnacentral:rRNA from 1 species
CAGGAUGAACGCUGGCGGCGUGCCUAAUACAUGCAAGUCGAACGGGAGCCAUUGGUUUCGACUGAUGGUGAGAGUGGCGCACGGGGUGCGUAACACGUAGCUGACCUGCCCUUCGCAGGGGGAUAACUUGCCGAAAGGUGAGCUAAUACCGCGUAAUCUCAUGGGACCUAGCACCCCAUGAGGAAAGCUGAGGCGGCGAAGGAGGGGGCUGCGGCCCAUCAGCUAGUUGGUAGGGUAAAGGCCUACCAAUGCGAUGACGGGUAGGGGGCCUGAGAGGGUGACCCCCCACACUGGCACUGAGAUACGGGCCAGACUCCUACGGGAGGCAGCAGUAAGGAAUAUUGCACAAUGGGCGCAAGCCUGAUGCAGCAACGCCGCGUGAAGGAUGAAGGCUUUCGAGUUGUAAACUUCUAUUCUGCGGGAAGAGAACGGACGGUACCGCAGGAACAAGCCUCGGCUAACUACGUGCCAGCAGACGCGGUAAAACGUAGGAGGCGAGCGUUAUCCGGAUUUACUGGGCGUAAAGCGCACGCAGGCGGUGGCAUCAGUGAUGCGUGAAAGCUCCCGGCUCAACUGGGAGAGGCCGUAUCAUACUGUGUCACUGG